rnacentral:tRNA from 1 species
CAAGCUAUAGCAUAUAGGAAUGCCUUUUAUUUACACUAAAAAAAAAGUUUUACUUAGUUUGA